rnacentral:rRNA from 1 species
GGCUUGUUGAUUAUUAUUUCAAGUCUAGCCUGCCCACUGAAUAAUUUAAAUGGCCGCGGUAUUUUGACCGUGCAAAGGUAGCAUAAUUAUUAGUUUUUUAAUUGAAAGCUUGUAUGAAAGGUUUUAUGAAAAAAUAGCUGUCUCUAGAAAAAUUAGAUAGAAUUUUAUUUUUAAGUGAAAAAGCUUAAAUAAUUAUAGAAGACGAGAAGACCCUAUAGAGUUUUAUAAGUAAAUAUAUAUAUAAGGUUAGGAAUUUAAGUUUAGAUAUAUUUUUAUUUAUUUGAUUGGGGUGAUAGGAAAAUUUAAUUAACUUUUCUUUAUAAAAAUAUUAAUGUAUAAAUUUAUGAUCCUUGGUUUAGAUUUUAAGAAUAAAUUACCUUAGGGAUAACAGCGUAAUUUUUUCUAGAGUUCUUAUCAAAGAAAAAGAUUGCGACCUCGAUGUUGGAUUAAAAUGAAUUAUUGGUGUAGAAGCUAAUAGGAUAAGUCUGUUCGACUUUUAAAAUUUUACAUGAUCUGAGUUUAAACCGGUGUGAG